UACGUAGGUGGCAAGCGUUAUCCGGAUUUAUUGGGCGUAAAGGGAACGCAGGCGGUCUUUUAAGUCUGAUGUGAAAGCCUUCGGCUUAACCGGAGUAGUGCAUUGGAAACUGGGAGACUAGAGUGCAGAAGAGGAGAGUGGAACUCCAUGUGUAGCGGUGAAAUGCGUAGAUAUAUGGAAGAACACCAGUGGCGAAAGCGGCUCUCUGGUCUGUAACUGACGCUGAGGUUCGAAAGCGUGGGUAGCAAACAGG
rnacentral:rRNA from 1 species